AAGUCCCGCAACGAGCGCAACCCCUACUGCCAGUUACUAGCAGGCUAUGCUGAGGACUCUGGCGGAACUGCCGGUGACAAACCGGAGGAAGGUGGGGAUGACGUCAAGUCAUCAUGGCCCUUAUGUCCAGGGCUACACACGUGCUACAAUGGGCGGCACAAAGCGAUGCGAAGCCGCGAGGCAAGAGCGAAACGCGAAAGCCGCCCGUAGUUCGGAUUGAAGUCUGAAACCCGACUUCAUGAAGUUGGAAUCGCUAGUAAUCGCGCAUCAGCAUGGCGCGGUGAAUACGUUCCCGGGCCUUGUACACACCGCCCGUCACACCAUCCGAGUUGGAGGUACCCGAAGCCGGUAGCCUAACCGCAAGGGGGGCGCUGUCGAAGGUACGUUUAGUGAGGAGGGUGAAAGUCGUAACAAGGU
rnacentral:rRNA from 1 species